rnacentral:snRNA from 1 species
AUACCUGGCAGGGGAGAUAACCAUGAUCAUGAAGGUGGUUUUCCCAGGGCGAGGCUUAUCCAUUUUGCACUCUGGAUGUGCUGACCCUUGCGAUUUUCCCAAAUGUGGGAAACUCGACAGCAUAAUUUGUGGUAGUGGGGGACUGCAUUCGCGCUCUCUCCUG